GCAGUACCCUACGGUACCCCCUUACUUUCACCCCUGUGCCUAACCCAUUCCAUUUUCAGAUGUAUGAUGUAAGAUCUAUAAUCAACAGGAUUAACUCAGUUUACACUCCAGACCAGACAGUUGGGGUAUUGCACACUUUCAUUUAAAAAAAAAAAAAAAAAACCGCCAUAAAGACAAGAAAAAACUUGAACGCAGGGAAGAUAACAGGCGCUGUUCAAAUUCGCCGUUUUUACUCGCAUAAUAUUGCCUUAAAAGUAGAGAGGGCCUUGACAAUAGUUACUAAUUUUGGUAAAUUCAAGCUGGUGACGUCCUAGUUAGAUGACAACACAACUGGACAACAGCUGAUGGAAAUGAAAUGUGUGUCACAAAAGGAGCCCGGAGGGAUGAAGGAUGCUAACGUGUUGCUAGCUAACGUCUAAGCAAAUGAAGAUCAAAGAGGAAGCCAGAGAAAUCAGGUGUUAGGAAACCUAGACCUUCCUGUGUCAGAAGAAGCUCUGGCUUCACCAGAUCAACAACCAGCUCUGAGGAUGAACCUUCACAUCGUCUUCCUGGUGGCCCUGUGAUGGGACUGGUGACCUGUCCAGGGUGAACC